rnacentral:rRNA from 2 species
UUAAGCGACUAAGCGUACACGGUGGAUGCCCUGGCAGUCAGAGGCGAUGAAGGACGUGCUAAUCUGCGAUAAGCGUCGGUAAGGUGAUAUGAACCGUUAUAACCGGCGAUUUCCGAAUGGGGAAACCCAGUGUGUUUCGACACACUAUCAUUAACUGAAUCCAUAGGUUAAUGAGGCGAACCGGGGGAACUGAAACAUCUAAGUACCCCGAGGAAAAGAAAUCAACCGAGAUUCCCCCAGUAGCGGCGAGCGAACGGGGAGCAGCCCAGAGCCUGAAUCAGUGUGUGUGUUAGUGGAAGCGUCUGGAAAGGCGCGCGAUACAGGGUGACAGCCCCGUACACAAAAAUGCACAUGCUGUGAGCUCGAUGAGUAGGGCGGGACACGUGGUAUCCUGUCUGAAUAUGGGGGGACCAUCCUCCAAGGCUAAAUACUCCUGACUGACCGAUAGUGAACCAGUACCGUGAGGGAAAGGCGAAAAGAACCCCGGCGAGGGGAGUGAAAAAGAACCUGAAACCGUGUACGUACAAGCAGUGGGAGCACGCUUAGGCGUGUGACUGCGUACCUUUUGUAUAAUGGGUCAGCGACUUAUAUUCUGUAGCAAGGUUAACCGAAUAGGGGAGCCGAAGGGAAACCGAGUCUUAACUGGGCGUUAAGUUGCAGGGUAUAGACCCGAAACCCGGUGAUCUAGCCAUGGGCAGGUUGAAGGUUGGGUAACACUAACUGGAGGACCGAACCGACUAAUGUUGAAAAAUUAGCGGAUGACUUGUGGCUGGGGGUGAAAGGCCAAUCAAACCGGGAGAUAGCUGGUUCUCCCCGAAAGCUAUUUAGGUAGCGCCUCGUGAAUUCAUCUCCGGGGGUAGAGCACUGUUUCGGCAAGGGGGUCAUCCCGACUUACCAACCCGAUGCAAACUGCGAAUACCGGAGAAUGUUAUCACGGGAGACACACGGCGGGUGCUAACGUCCGUCGUGAAGAGGGAAACAACCCAGACCGCCAGCUAAGGUCCCAAAGUCAUGGUUAAGUGGGAAACGAUGUGGGAAGGCCCAGACAGCCAGGAUGUUGGCUUAGAAGCAGCCAUCAUUUAAAGAAAGCGUAAUAGCUCACUGGUCGAGUCGGCCUGCGCGGAAGAUGUAACGGGGCUAAACCAUGCACCGAAGCUGCGGCAGCGACGCUGAUGCGUUGUUGGGUAGGGGAGCGUUCUGUAAGCCUGCGAAGGUGUGCUGUGAGGCAUGCUGGAGGUAUCAGAAGUGCGAAUGCUGACAUAAGUAACGAUAAAGCGGGUGAAAAGCCCGCUCGCCGGAAGACCAAGGGUUCCUGUCCAACGUUAAUCGGGGCAGGGUGAGUCGACCCCUAAGGCGAGGCCGAAAGGCGUAGUCGAUGGGAAACAGGUUAAUAUUCCUGUACUUGGUGUUACUGCGAAGGGGGGACGGAGAAGGCUAUGUUGGCCGGGCGACGGUUGUCCCGGUUUAAGCGUGUAGGCUGGUUUUCCAGGCAAAUCCGGAAAAUCAAGGCUGAGGCGUGAUGACGAGGCACUACGGUGCUGAAGCAACAAAUGCCCUGCUUCCAGGAAAAGCCUCUAAGCAUCAGGUAACAUCAAAUCGUACCCCAAACCGACACAGGUGGUCAGGUAGAGAAUACCAAGGCGCUUGAGAGAACUCGGGUGAAGGAACUAGGCAAAAUGGUGCCGUAACUUCGGGAGAAGGCACGCUGAUAUGUAGGUGAAGUCCCUCGCGGAUGGAGCUGAAAUCAGUCGAAGAUACCAGCUGGCUGCAACUGUUUAUUAAAAACACAGCACUGUGCAAACACGAAAGUGGACGUAUACGGUGUGACGCCUGCCCGGUGCCGGAAGGUUAAUUGAUGGGGUCAGCGCAAGCGAAGCUCUUGAUCGAAGCCCCGGUAAACGGCGGCCGUAACUAUAACGGUCCUAAGGUAGCGAAAUUCCUUGUCGGGUAAGUUCCGACCUGCACGAAUGGCGUAAUGAUGGCCAGGCUGUCUCCACCCGAGACUCAGUGAAAUUGAACUCGCUGUGAAGAUGCAGUGUACCCGCGGCAAGACGGAAAGACCCCGUGAACCUUUACUAUAGCUUGACACUGAACAUUGAGCCUUGAUGUGUAGGAUAGGUGGGAGGCUUUGAAGUGUGGACGCCAGUCUGCAUGGAGCCGACCUUGAAAUACCACCCUUUAAUGUUUGAUGUUCUAACGUGGACCCGUGAUCCGGGUUGCGGACAGUGUCUGGUGGGUAGUUUGACUGGGGCGGUCUCCUCCUAAAGAGUAACGGAGGAGCACGAAGGUUGGCUAAUCCUGGUCGGACAUCAGGAGGUUAGUGCAAUGGCAUAAGCCAGCUUGACUGCGAGCGUGACGGCGCGAGCAGGUGCGAAAGCAGGUCAUAGUGAUCCGGUGGUUCUGAAUGGAAGGGCCAUCGCUCAACGGAUAAAAGGUACUCCGGGGAUAACAGGCUGAUACCGCCCAAGAGUUCAUAUCGACGGCGGUGUUUGGCACCUCGAUGUCGGCUCAUCACAUCCUGGGGCUGAAGUAGGUCCCAAGGGUAUGGCUGUUCGCCAUUUAAAGUGGUACGCGAGCUGGGUUUAGAACGUCGUGAGACAGUUCGGUCCCUAUCUGCCGUGGGCGCUGGAGAACUGAGGGGGGCUGCUCCUAGUACGAGAGGACCGGAGUGGACGCAUCACUGGUGUUCGGGUUGUCAUGCCAAUGGCACUGCCCGGUAGCUAAAUGCGGAAGAGAUAAGUGCUGAAAGCAUCUAAGCACGAAACUUGCCCCGAGAUGAGUUCUCCCUGACUCCUUGAGAGUCCUGAAGGAACGUUGAAGACGACGACGUUGAUAGGCCGGGUGUGUAAGCGCAGCGAUGCGUUGAGCUAACCGGUACUAAUGAACCGUGAGGCUUAACCUU